GUCCCGGGCAGCGGUGUGUCUUAAACAGUGCGCCCAUCACUUCGGGACUGUCCUCCUGCAAACCUGAACGAUUGAAUGCCACCCCAGGCUGGACGCCCUCCUGGAGUGUUAACCGUGGAGGUGGAACUGAUAUAGUUCAUGGUACUGCAUUGCACCAUGGACUUGGAUUCCUCUGAAGCCUUAGUGUGACCGGGAGGUCUCAUUAGUUGCUGUGCCAGCCACUGAAAAAGCAUGAAGAGUCAGGACACGCUGUAGAAGGGCUGGUCUCUGCAGAGGUGCAGUGGAGAACUGCUGGUCAUGCCUGAAGUGCCAGCAUUGGAUGGAUUAAAAAACAGCACCACCAUUAGCAGCCACCUGCACGGACACUCGCUGGCACUGUUCUGCUCCAUUAGCUAGAUCUUGUUCACUUCUAACUUCCAAAACCAGCAUGGCAUCCAGUGACCAGGGCUCUGGUCAGGACCAUGUUUGAUCUGCGGCUGGUUGAAUCGAUGGAUGCGGCACCUGAGAAUGUAGAGGGUGGACUUCAUUGGCGGAGAACCAUAGAUAUACUAGUAGAUAACAUGGCAGCAUAGAGGACAUGGAAGACUAGGAGCUGGGCAGUGUUGGUCUUUACCAUGCCUAUCCGCACAUCAUCACCGCAGGCAAGUCACCUCACCAUUCUGGGACUCCUGAUCCCUAAAGGACUCGCAGCAGUUUUCCAGCUCUCCAUCUUCACCCCACAUCACCCCCGUCUUUCUUGUGACAAGCUUGUACUAUAUACAGCAUGGAUACACUGAACAAAGAGGAUUCACAUCCUGGGUGGGACAGAUGGGAUGAUUUUUUUAAUUGUGAAAAAAGGUGUUUGCAUGCUCUACGAAUUUAUCAUUUCUCCCUCUUCCACCCCAGGAUACUGCAUUCAACUAUGUAUUCAUGGUUCAAAUGUACUUUGACCCUUGAGUCUCUCCAUGGUGCCAACCUUAAUCUCCAGGACUUUCCAGUGAAUGGACAAUUAAGUCUCAAUGUGUUAUAGUGAAACUUCCAGUAAAGAAAAUCUGGUCCAUUUGUGGGUUAGGUGUCUAUCCCUGGUCCAAUAAGCUGAUACCAACUUGGAGAGGGUCAUGUGGAAUAUGACACCUGGAUCUCAAAAAAGGAGACU